CUACGUGCCAGCAGCCGCGGUAAUACGUAGGGUGCGAGCGUUAAUCGGAAUUACUGGGCGUAAAGCGGGCGCAGACGGUUACUUAAGCAGGAUGUGAAAUCCCCGGGCUCAACCUGGGAACUGCGUUCUGAACUGGGUGACUAGAGUGUGUCAGAGGGAGGUAGAAUUCCACGUGUAGCAGUGAGAUGCGUAGAGAUGUGGAGGAAUACCGAUGGCGAAGGCAGCCUCCUGGGAUAACACUGACGUUCAUGCCCGAAAGCGUGGGUAGCAAACAGGAUUAGAUACCCUGGUAGUCCACGCCGUAAACGAUGAGUGCUAGGUGUUAGACCCUUUCCGGGGUUUAGUGCCGCAGCUAACGCAUUAAGCACUCCGCCUGGGGAGUACGACCGCAAGGUUGAAACUCAAAGGAAUUGACGGGGGCCCGCACAAGCGGUGGAGCAUGUGGUUUAAUUCGAAGCAACGCGAAGAACCUUACCAGGUCUUGACAUCCCUCUGACCGCUCUAGAGAUAGAGUUUUCCUUCGGGACAGAGG
rnacentral:rRNA from 1 species